CCUACGGGAGACUGCAGUGAGGAAUAUUGGUCAAUGGCCGAGAGGCUGAACCAGCCAAGUCGCGUGAGGGAUGAAUGUCCUCUGGAUUGUAAACCUCUUUUGUCAGGGAGCAAAGUCACCCACGUGUGGGUGUUGGGGUGUACCUGAAGAAAAAGCAUCGGCUCACUCCGUGCCAGCAGCCGCGGUAAUACGGAGGAUGCGAGCGUUAUCCGGAUUUAUUGGGUUUAACGGGAGCGUAGGCCGCAUGUCAAGCGUGCUGUGAAAAGUCCGGGCUCAACCCCGGACUUGCAGCGAGAACUGGCGGGCUUGAGUGCGCGGAGGGCAGGCGGAAUUCAUGGUGUAGCGGUGAAAUGCUUAGAUAUGACGAAGAACCCCGAUUGCGAAGGCAGGUUGCUGCAGCGGAACUGACGCUGAGGCUCGAAAGCGCGGGUAUCGAACAGGAUUAGAUACCCGAGUAGUC
rnacentral:rRNA from 1 species